rnacentral:rRNA from 1 species
ACGCUGGCGGCAUGCCUUACACAUGCAAGUCGAACGGCAGCACGGAGCUUGCUCUGGUGGCGAGUGGCGAACGGGUGAGUAAUAUAUCGGAACGUACCCUGGAGUGGGGGAUAACGUAGCGAAAGUUACGCUAAUACCGCAUACGAUCUAUGGAUGAAAGUGGGGGAUGCGCAAGCACCUCAUGCUCGUGGAGCGGCCGAUAUCUGAUUAGCUAGUUGGUAGGGUAAAAGCCUACCAAGGCAUCGAUCAGUAGCUGGUCUGAGAGGACGACCAGCCACACUGGAACUGAGACACGGUCCAGACUCCUACGGGAGGCAGCAGUGGGGAAUUUUGGACAAUGGGCGCAAGCCUGAUCCAGCAAUGCCGCGUGAGUGAAGAAGGCCUUCGGGUUGUAAAGCUCUUUUGUCAGGGAAGAAACGGUGGGAGCUAAUAUCUCCUGCUAAUGACGGUACCUGAAGAAUAAGCACCGGCUAACUACGUGCCAGCAGCCGCGGUAAUACGUAGGGUGCAAGCGUUAAUCGGAAUUACUGGGCGUAAAGCGUGCGCAGGCGGUUUUGUAAGUCUGAUGUGAAAUCCCCGGGCUCAACCUGGGAAUUGCAUUGGAGACUGCAAGGCUAGAAUCUGGCAGAGGGGGGUAGAAUUCCACGUGUAGCAGUGAAAUGCGUAGAUAUGUGGAGGAACACCGAUGGCGAAGGCAGCCCCCUGGGUCAAGAUUGACGCUCAUGCACGAAAGCGUGGGGAGCAAACAGGAUUAGAU